AUAUCAAUAAGCGGAGGAAAAGAAACCAACAGGGAUUGCCUCAGUAACGGCGAGUGAAGCGGCAACAGCUCAAAUUUGAAAUCUGGCCCUUUCAGGGUCCGAGUUGUAAUUUGCAGAGGGUGCUUUGGUGUCGGCCGUGGUCUAAGUUCCUUGGAACAGGACGUCACAGAGGGUGAGAAUCCCGUACGUGGCCGCCGGUCUUCACCGUGUAAAGCCCCUUCGACGAGUCGAGUUGUUUGGGAAUGCAGCUCUAAAUGGGAGAUACAUUUCUUCUAAAGCUAAAUAUUGGCCAGAGACCGAUAGCGCACAAGUAGAGUGAUCGAAAGAUGAAAAGCACUUUGGAAAGAGAGUCAAAAAGCAC
rnacentral:rRNA from 1 species